rnacentral:rRNA from 1 species
GUGGGGAAUAUUGCGCAAUGGGCGAAAGCCUGACGCAGCGACGCCGCGUGAGGGAUGAAGGUUUUCGGAUCGUAAACCUCUGUCAGAAGGGAAGAAACUACGUUGUGCUAAUCAGCAGCGUACUGACGGUACCUUCAAAGGAAGCACCGGCUAACUCCGUGCCAGCAGCCGCGGCAAUACGGAGGGUGCAAGCGUUAAUCGGAAUUACUGGGCGUAAAGCGCACGUGGGCUGUAGUGUAAGUCAGGGGUGAAAUCCCACGGCUCAACCGUGGAACUGCCUUUGAUACUGCACAACUUGAAUCCGGGAGGGGGUGGCGGAAUUCCAGGUGUAGGAGUGAAAUCCGUAGAUAUCUGGAGGAACAUCAGUGGCGAAGGCGGCCACCUGGACCGGUAUUGACGCUGAGGUGCGAAAGCGUGGGGAGCAAACAGGAUUAGAAACCCGAGUAGUCC